AGCAGCCGCGGUAAUUCCAGCUCCAAUAGCGUAUAUUAAAGUUGUUGCAGUUAAAAAGCUCGUAGUUGAAUUUCGGGAUCAAUAUGCUGGUCGUGCCUUUGGUACGUACUGGUAUUAUUGGUUUCUCCUUUCUGAUGAAUCACGAUGUCAUUAAUUUGGUGUCAUGGGGAAUCAGGACUGUUACUUUGAAAAAUUAGUGUGUUUAAAGCAGGCUUACGCUUGAAUACAUUAGCAUGGAAUAAUGAAAUAGGACGUUUAAUUCUAUUUUGUUGGUUUCUAGGAUUGACGUAAUGAUUAAUAGGGAUAGUUGGGGGCAUUAGUAUUCAAUUGUCAGAGGUGAAAUUCUUGGAUUUAUUGAAGACUAACUACUGCGAAAGCAUUUGCCAAGGAUGUUUUCAUUAAUCAAGAACGAAAGUUAGGGGAUCGAAGACGAUCAGAUACCGUCGUAGUCUUAACCAUAAACUAUGCCGACUAGGGAUCGGAUGAUGUUAAUUUAUGA
rnacentral:rRNA from 1 species